rnacentral:rRNA from 1 species
UCAAUAAGCGGAGGAAAAGAAACCAACCGGGAUUGCCUUAGUAACGGCGAGUGAAGCGGCAAAAGCUCAAAUUUGAAAUCUGGUACCUUCGGUGCCCGAGUUGUAAUUUGGAGAGGGCAACUUUGGGGCCGUUCCUUGUCUAUGUUCCUUGGAACAGGACGUCAUAGAGGGUGAGAAUCCCGUGUGGCGAGGAGUGCGGUUCUUUGUAAAGUGCCUUCGAAGAGUCGAGUUGUUUGGGAAUGCAGCUCUAAGUGGGUGGUAAAUUCCAUCUAAAGCUAAAUAUUGGCGAGAGACCGAUAGCGAACAAGUACAGUGAUGGAAAGAUGAAAAGAACUUUGAAAAGAGAGUGAAAAAGUACGUGAAAUUGUUGAAAGGGAAGGGCAUUUGAUCAGACAUGGUGUUUUGUGCCCUCUGCUCCUUGUGGGUAGGGGAAUCUCGCAUUUCACUGGGCCAGCAUCAGUUUUGGUGGCAGGAUAAAUCCAUAGGAAUGUAGCUUGCCUCGGUAAGUAUUAUAGCCUGUGGGAAUACUGCCAGCUGGGACUGAGGACUGCGACGUAAGUCAAGGAUGCUGGCAUAAUGGUUAUAUGCCGCCCGUCUUGAAACACGG